rnacentral:rRNA from 1 species
AAGUCUGAUGUGAAAAGCCUUGGCCCCACCGCGGAACUGCAUCAGAAACUGUUGAACUUGAGUGCAGAAGAGGAGAGUGGAACUCCAUGUGUAGCGGUGGAAUGCGUAGAUAUAUGGAAGAACACCAGUGGCGAAGGCGGCUCUCUGGUCUGCAACUGACGCUGAGGCUCGAAAGCAUGGGUAGCGAAC